rnacentral:rRNA from 1 species
AUCGAUGAUACUAGCAUGCGAGUCUUGUAGUAUACAAGCAGACGCUCAGUACACGUAGUCAACCUACCCUAUGGACAAGAAUAAUCUCGGGAAACUGGGCAUAAUUCUUGAUAGAUCAUAAUGCCUGGAAUGGUUUAUGGUUAAAAUGAUUCGUCGCCAUAGGAUGGGACUGCGGCCUAUCAGCUUGUUGGUGAGGUAAUGGCCCACCAAGGCGAUUACAGGUACGGGCUCUGAGAGGAGAAGCCCGGAGAUGGGUACUGAGACACGGACCCAGGCCCUAUGGGGCGCAGCAGGCGAGAAAACUUUGCAAUGUGCGAAAGCACGACAAGGUUAAUCCGAGUGAUUUCUGCUAAAGAAAUCUUUUGCCAGUCAUAAAACCACUGGUGAAUAAGGGGUGGGCAAGUUCUGGUGUCAGCCGCCGCGGUAAAACCAGCACCUCAAGUGGUCAGGAUGAUUGUUGGGCCUAAAGCAUCCGUAGCCGGCUUUGUAAGUUUUCGGUUAAAUCCAUGUGCUCAACGCAUGGGCUGCCGAAAAUACUGCAUGGCUAGGGAGUGGGAGAGGUAGACGGUACUCAGUAGGAAGGGGUAAAAUCCUUUGAUCUAUUGAUGACCACCUGUGGCGAAGGCGGUCUACCAGAACACGUUCGACGGUGAGGGAUGAAAGCUGGGGGAGCAAACCGGAUUAGAUACCCGGGUAGUCCCAGCUGUAAACGAUGCAGACUAGAUGAUGCAUUGGCAUAAUAGCCAUUGCAGUGUCUCAGGGAAGCCGUUAAGUCUGCCGCCUGGGAAGUACGUACGCAAGUAUGAAACUUAAAGGAAUUG